CUAAGCAUGAAGCCCCCCUCAAGAUGAGAUUUCCCAUAGCGCAAGCUAGUAAGAUCCCUGAAAGAUGAUCAGGUUGAUAGGUCAGAGGUGGAAGCACGGCGACGUGUGUAGCUGACUGAUACUAAUCGAUCGAGGACUUAACCAAAUU
rnacentral:rRNA from 1 species